UGGGGAAUUUUGCGCAAUGGGCGAAAGCCUGACGCAGCAACGCCGCGUGGAGGAUGAAGGUCCUCGGAUCGUAAACUCCUGUCGAUGGGGAAGAAAGCCCGCAAGGGUUUGACUGUACCCGUUGAGGAAGCCACGGCUAACUCCGUGCCAGCAGCCGCGGUAAUACGGAGGUGGCAAGCGUUGUUCGGAAUUACUGGGCGUAAAGGGCGCGUAGGCGGCUUUGCAAGUCAGAUGUGAAAGCCCCGAGCUUAACUCGGGAAUUGCAUCUGAAACUGCUUAGCUUGAGUCCUGGAUGGGGUAGUGGAAUUCCCAGUGUAGCGGUGAAAUGCGUAGAUAUUGGGAGGAACACCUGCGGCGAAGGCGGCUACCUGGACAGUGACUGACGCUGAGGCGCGAAAGCUAGGGGAGCGAACGGG
rnacentral:rRNA from 1 species